UCCCUUUGGCUUAUGUUUGGAAUG
rnacentral:piRNA from 1 species